rnacentral:rRNA from 1 species
AUACAGAGGGUGCGAGCGUUAAUCGGAAUUACUGGGCGUAAAGCGCGCGUAGGCGGCUACUUAAGUCAGAUGUGAAAUCCCCCGGCUCAACCUGGGAACUGCAUCUGAUACUGGGUAGCUAGAGUUUAGGAGAGGGAAGUAGAAUUUCAGGUGUAGCGGUGAAAUGCAUAGAGAUCUGAAGGAAUACCAGUGGCGAAGGCGGCUUCCUGGCCUAAAACUGACGCUGAGGUGCGAAAGCGUGGGUAGCAAACGGGAUUAGAAACCCGAGUAGUCC